CCUACGGGUGGCAGCAGUGAGGAAUAUUGGUCAAUGGGCGCGAGCCUGAACCAGCCAAGUAGCGUGAAGGAUGACUGCCCUACGGGUUGUAAACUUCUUUUAUAAAGGAAUAAAUUGCGGCACGUGUCCCUUUUUGUAUGUUCUUUAUGAAUAAGGAUCGGCUAACGACGGGACAGCAGCCGACGUAAUACGGAGGGGCCGCACGUUAUCCGGAUUUAUUGGGGUUAAAGGGAGCGUAGAUGGGUUGUUAAGUCAGUCGUGAAAGUUUGCGGAGAAAACGUAAAAUUGCAAUUGAUACUGGCAGCCUUGAGUACAGUAGAGGUAGGCGGAAUUCGUGGUGUAGCGGUGAAAUGCUGAGAUAUCACGAAGAACUCCGAUUGCGAAGGCAGCCUACUAAACUGCCACUGACGUUGAUGCUCGAAAGUGUGGGGAUCAAACAGGAUUAGAUACCCCAGUAGUC
rnacentral:rRNA from 1 species